rnacentral:rRNA from 1 species
AUUGAACGCUGGCGGCAGGCCUAACACAUGCAAGUCGAGCGAGAAAGGUCUUCGGACUGAGUACAGCGGCGGACGGGUGAGUAAUGCGCAGGAAUCUACCUGGUAUGGGGGAUAACUCGGGGAAACUCGAACUAAUACCGCAUACGCCCUACGGGGAAAGCGGGGACCGUUCGGGCCGUCGCGCUAUCCAGAUGAGCCUGCGUAGGAUUAGCUUGUUGGUGAGGUAAGGCUCACCAAGGCGACGAUCCUUAGCUGGUCUGAGAGGAUGAUCAGCCACACUGGAACUGAGACACGGUCCAGACUCCUACGGGAGGCAGCAGUGGGGAAUAUUGCGCAAUGGGCGAAAGCCUGACGCAGCCAUGCCGCGUGUGUGAAGAAGGCCCUUGGGUUGUAAAGCACUUUCAAUUGGGAAG